rnacentral:lncRNA from 1 species
AUUGUAUUUAGUAAAAAUUAAGAAAUUAAAUUAUUAACGGAAUUACUAUUAGAUUUAGUAAAUUUCAAAAUUAUUUGAGUGAAAUAAUAUAAAUAAAAUAAUUAAAAGUUAAGUAAGUAUAAAUAAAAAAAGGUAAAUGUUUUUUUUACACUAACAAUUUAGUCAAUAUAUUUUCUCAUCAAAAUUUUAAUUAGGUAUAUUUUACUUACUUGCUAAAAUUUAAAUUUGUAUGUAUUUUGGCCCCCCUCGUAAUCAAGUCCUAACUUCGUCAC